rnacentral:snoRNA from 1 species
ACGGCAUGAUGGGGACAUUUUCUAAUGAGAUCCUUUAAUUGUUCCCAUGAUUCAUGGAACUGCUCACCAUCUUGUUGUUAGAAGCUAGUGAGAGCUCGCCAU